CCCGUGCACUUCCUGUGUCGUGACCUUUGUUUACUGUUCGCUCCAUGGUUAAAAAUAGACCUGUAGGUUCACUCGGGGCGGUUGUGGAGAUAUUAACUGUCCGUUACCCCUAAAAUGAAUUCUAUAGCAGACAGCUUUGGACAGUUUUGCACGAAAACUCGUUUUCCAAAACGAAGACAUCGACAGGUGAGCUAGCUAGCUGGUUAGCUGAGUGCUAAGGUCCGCGGCGCCGUGCUGCUGAUCGUCGGUUUGUCGGCCUGGAGACACCGAUAGACGCCUGCUGCGGAUUCCGCAGGUCCCUCCGAGAGUCCCCGAGGGCGCAACUGCAGCGUGUUCGUGGCGAUAAAACCGCAUCUUUUGGUGUAGGAUGACGUCAGCCGAGCCCACGGCCUGCAGUUUCCUAAACACGGAAGAGGCAUCUCCAGCUUCUUUGACAGACCUUUGCCUGACAUAUGUGAGCCAAAACCUGGAGUGUUACUGUGUGAAGCGCCCUGAUGGCUCACUGUGUUUCAAUGAGCCAGUACCCUUCCCGCAUGAUCUGGCAGACCAGCUACUGGCCAAAAUGGCUACUGAAGGUCUGUUGAAUGACAGCACUUUCGGUGUGUUUCGGAACUGUGAAUACCUGCGGCUGAGGCGGGCGUGUAUCCGUACAGCGCGCAUCUCUGCAGAGGCCUUCCAGAAAGCACUCUGUCCUCACAGCCUGUUGGAGCUGGAUGCUGCCAGAGUCAAUGCAGACAUCACCAUCACUGACAUACUGCAGGGACUGGCCACCAACAAAUAUUGCCAGGAGUCCCUCCAGCGGCUUGUUUUAACAGGUCUGACCAUGUCCUCUCUGGAGGAACCAAUCCGGUAUGGCUUCAGCUCCCUCCAGGGCCUGCGGUCUCUCUCUUUAGCCAAUGUAGACUUCUACGACUCGGGACUAACCGAUGUGUGUUCGCUGCCUCGACUGGAGAGUUUGGACUUGUCCAACACAUCGGUCACCAACCUGACUCCCCUGCUGGGCCUGAAGGAGAGGCUUCGCUCGCUCACUCUGCACCAACUAAAGCGCCUGGAGAUGAGCACCGCUCAGCUGCUGGGAGUCAUCGGACAGCUGAACGUGUUACAGCACUUGGACAUCAGCGAUGAUAAGCAGUUUACUUCUGAUAUCGCUCGUCAACUGCUCGGCCAGCAUGGGAUCCUGCCUGCUCUUGUUUCCCUGGAUGUGUCAGGGAGGAAACAGGUGACUGAUGCAGCUGUUAAGGCAUUUGUCGAAGAAAGACCAGGCAUGACCUUCUUAGGACUUCUGGCCACCGAUGCUGGAUUUUCGGAUUUUCUCUCUGGAGAAGGAAAUCUAAAAGUAACAGGAGAAGCCAAUGAAACCCAAAUCUGUGAGGCACUCCACCGGUACAGUGAGAGAGAAGCUUUCGUAAGAGAAGCUCUGUUUCAUCUCUUCAGCCUGACUCAUGUUAUGGAGAAGCCUCGACCCGACAUUCUUAAGCUUGUAGUUUUGGGUAUGAAGAAUCACCCCGCCACUUUAAACGUCCAGCUGGCAGCCAGUGCCUGUGUUUUUAACCUGACAAAGCAGGACCUGGCAGCAGGAAUGCCAGUUCGCCUGCUGAGCACAGUCACCCAGCUGCUACUGGAAGCCAUGAGGACCUUCCCUAACCACCAACAGCUGCAGAAGAACUGCCUCCUGUCUCUGUGCAGUGACCGCAUUUUGCAGGAGGUCCCAUUCAACAGGUUUGAAGCUGCCAAGCUUGUGAUGCAGUGGCUUUGCAACCAUGAAGACCAGAACAUGCAGAGGAUGGCUGUUGCGAUCAUUUCCAUAUUAGCUGCUAAGUUAUCCACAGAGCAGACUGCUCAGUUGGGAGCAGAGUUGUUCAUAGUCAAGCAACUACUCCACAUAGUGCGCCAGAAGGCAUCGCAGGGAGUGGUGGAUGCCACCCUCAAGUUUACACUGAGUGCUCUCUGGAAUCUUACUGAUGAAUCGCCAACAACCUGCCGCCAUUUUAUUGAGAACCAGGGUUUGGACCUGUUCAUUAAAGUUCUAGAGUGCUUCCCCAACGAGUCUUCUAUUCAGCAGAAGGUUUUAGGUCUGCUGAACAAUAUAGCUGAGGUAGGCGAGCUGCACAGGGAGCUGAUGGUGCAGGGAUUCUUGGACCACAUCUGUGCUCUGCUGCACAGCCCGGAGGUAGAAGUCAGCUAUUUUGCCGCAGGCAUCCUUGCCCAUCUAACAUCCAGAGGAGAGGGGGCCUGGACGCUCUGCCCCAGUCUUCGAUCCUCGCUGCUGGAUCAAUUGCAUUCUGCUAUAAUGAAGUGGCCCACGCCAGAGUGUGAAAUGGUGGCUUACAGGUCAUUUAACCCUUUCUUUCCUCUGCUGGAGUGCUUUCACACCCCCGGUGUCCAGCUGUGGGCUGCCUGGGCUAUGCAGCAUGUGUGCAGCAAAAAUGCCUCUCGCUACUGCAGCAUGUUGCUGGAGGAGGGCGGCCUGCAGCAGCUCAAGCAUGUUCAAGCGCACCCCCAGACCCACAGAGAUGUCAAACAGCUGGCCGAGAGCAUUCUGGAGAGCCUGCAGUGCCACAGAGCGCGCACCGGCCAGCCUAUACGCACCAACUCAUGUGGCUGCCCGCCGCCACAAUAACCUGACUGAGAAGGUGUGGGGCUGUGACCAAGCGGAUGACGUCACCCUGAUGGCACCACAGAGGGGGACAGUUCGUUCCAGCAGCACCCAACGAUCCUCUGAAGAGACUGUGCUGAUGUCCUGCACUCAUGGCCAUUGUAGAAACACCAGGACCCUAAAGACUUGGAGCUUGACUUGGUGACUCCAUGAGCUCUUCCCAAGCGUCUCUCAAUCUCAGAAGUAGAGGCCCCAGAGACACACCAAGAUGUCAAGAUGCUGUGUUGUUAAUCUGUCCUAUUUGUGCUUCACGGUCCCCCUAGAAUGCCUACUUACUGAGACUGGUGAUAUUCAGUGUCCCAAGAUUUGAGUCAAGGGUGUCAUAUUGUUUCCAACUUCAGCAUGGUGGUAUAUUGAUCACAUUGUAAAAUUCACGUCUCAAUGUAGCAGGUUGUUCGAUGUAUGGUUCUACUCAAAACAGUUCAAAAAUACUGGGAUGUUGGGCAUAUGGAUGCAAAAAAAAAAAAAAAAAAAAAAAUCUAAAAAUGGAUAUAAAAUGUAUAGAUUUCCUGUGAAAAUAAAGUCAAAA